UAGAGUUUGAUCAUGGCUCAGAUUGAACGCUGGCGGAAUGCUUUACACAUGCAAGUCGAGCGGCAGCGCGGGGCAACCUGGCGGCGAGCGGCGAACGGGUGAGUAAUACAUCGGAACGUACCCAGUUGUGGGGGAUAGCCCGGCGAAAGCCGGAUUAAUACCGCAUACGACCUGAGGGUGAAAGCGGGGGAUCGCAAGACCUCGCGCAGUUGGAGCGGCCGAUGGCGGAUUAGCUAGUUGGUGAGGUAAUGGCUCACCAAGGCGACGAUCCGUAGCUGGUCUGAGAGGACGACCAGCCACACUGGAACUGAGACACGGUCCAGACUCCUACGGGAGGCAGCAGUGGGGAAUUUUGGACAAUGGGGGAAACCCUGAUCCAGCCAUUCCGCGUGAGUGAAGAAGGCCUUCGGGUUGUAAAGCUCUUUCGGCAGGAACGAAACGGUCUUUUCUAAUACAAGAGGCUAAUGACGGUACCUGAAGAAGAAGCACCGGCUAACUACGUGCCAGCAGCCGCGGUAAUACGUAGGGUGCGAGCGUUAAUCGGAAUUACUGGGCGUAAAGCGUGCGCAGGCGGUUAUGUAAGACAGAUGUGAAAUCCCCGGGCUUAACCUGGGAACUGCGUUUGUGACUGCAUAACUUGAGUGUGGCAGAGGGGGGUGGAAUUCCACGUGUAGCAGUGAAAUGCGUAGAGAUGUGGAGGAACACCGAUGGCGAAGGCAGCCCCCUGGGUCAACACUGACGCUCAUGCACGAAAGCGUGGGGAGCAAACAGGAUUAGAUACCCUGGUAGUC
rnacentral:rRNA from 1 species